AUUGAACGCUGGCGGCAGGCCUAACACAUGCAAGUCGAACGGUAACAGGAAGCAGCUUGCUGCCUUGCUGUCGCGUGGCGGACGGGUGUGUAAUGUCUGGGAAAUUCCUUGAUGGCGGGGGAUAACUCCUGAAACCGGUACCAAAUACCGCAUAACGUCGCAAGACCAUAGAUCGGGACCUUCGGACCUCUUUCCAUUGACUGAGACCAGAAGGGAUUAGCCAUUAGCUGGGGUAACGGCUCACCUAGGCCACAGUCCCUAGCUGGUCUGAGAGGAUGAUCAGCCACACUGGAACUGAGACACGGUCCAGACUCCUACGGGAGGCAGCAGUGGGGAAUAUUGCGCAAUGGGCGCAAGCCUGAUGGAGCCACGCCGCGUGUAUGAAGAAGGUCUUCGGGUUGUAAAGUACUUUUAUCGGGGAAGAAGGUAGUAGAAUGUAUACCUGCGCACAUUGACGUUACCCGAAGAGGAAGCACCGGCUAACUCCGUG
rnacentral:rRNA from 1 species